AUUGAACGCUGGCGGCAGGCUUAACACAUGCAAGUCGAGCGGAGAUGAGGUGCUUGCACCUUAUCUUAGCGGCGGACGGGUGAGUAAUGCUUAGGAAUCUGCCUAUUAGUGGGGGACAACAUUCUGAAAGGAAUGCUAAUACCGCAUACGCCCUACGGGGGAAAGCAGGGGAUCUUCGGACCUUGCGCUAAUAGAUGAGCCUAAGUCGGAUUAGCUAGUUGGUGGGGUAAAGGCCUACCAAGGCGACGAUCUGUAGCGGGUCUGAGAGGAUGAUCCGCCACACUGGGACUGAGACACGGCCCAGACUCCUACGGGAGGCAGCAGUGGGGAAUAUUGGACAAUGGGGGGAACCCUGAUCCAGCCAUGCCGCGUGUGUGAAGAAGGCCUUUUGGUUGUAAAGCACUUUAAGCGAGGAGGAGGCUACCGAGAUUAAUACUCUUGGAUAGUGGACGUUACUCGCAGAAUAAGCACCGGCUAACUCUGUGCCAGCCGCCGCAGUAA
rnacentral:rRNA from 1 species